rnacentral:rRNA from 1 species
AUCACUACGCUAGAUGCAUAUCAAUAAGCGGAGGAAAAGAAACUAACUAGGAUUCCCUUAGUAACGGCGAGUGAAGCGGGAAGAGCUCAAAUUUGAAAUCUUCAAGGUUCUAUCUUGACGAAUUGUAGUUUAAAGAAGUGUUUUCUGUUGAAGUUUUGGUAAAAGUUCUUUGGAAUAGGACAUCAUAGAGGGUGAGAAUCCCGUAUUUGACCAUUUCUUCCAGCUGUGUGAUACACUUUCAAAGAGUCGGAUUGUUUGGGAAUGCAGUCCAAAAUGGGUGGUAAAUUUCAUCUAAAGCUAAAUAUUGGCGAGAGACCGAUAGCGAACAAGUACCGUGAGGGAAAGAUGAAAAGAACUUUGAAAAGAGAGUUAAACAGUACGUGAAAUUGUCAAAAGGGAAGCGUUUGACACCAGUGUUGUUUUCUCGAAAAUCAAUUAAAAAUGAUGGGAUUUUGUGUUGUAUUGACUUUAUCAGCUUUCUGCACUUUUUUCUUAUCUUUUUUAAUGCACUUUUCGUUUAACAAGUCAACAUCAAUUUCUUUUGUUGUAAAAGAGUCAUUGGAAGGUGGCUUUUUCUUCGGAAAAAGUGUUUAUAGCCUUUGGCUUCUGCAAUCGGAGAGAUUGAGGUCUGCAGCGUAGAUCCUUCGGGGUUAGAUACAUUUGUGCUAAGCUAUAGUUCUUUAUAGACAACUUGUUGACUAUAAUCAAUCCUGUAACUUACUCGCUUAUGCUAUUUUACCUACGCUUAGGAUGUUGACACACGCGCGUGCUCG